rnacentral:lncRNA from 10 species
GGGCUGAGGUUUUGUUUGGGAUGACAACCUUGUUCAAUUAUGCUUUCCUCACUUUCUUUUUCUUCCUUUCAUAGGCAUUGAUCCUAAGAGCACCCCUUCAUAAAUAUACUGCAUGUGAGUCUCCCUCUCAGAAUCUGCUUCUCGGGGAUACUGUGACACAUUGUUGAUCCUUCCUUGGUGGACACAUAUUAAGAAUGCAAGCUUCCUAUGUGCUCAAAUGUUGGUGAUCGAAGGUAUGGGAAGACAUUACAGUUUUCAAACUUGGACCUGCUUACACAAGUUUUCCAGUAACAAUCACCUGUUUGUUCUUUGUUUGUCCAUGGAAUAUGAAUAUCAUUCUGGAUACCUUCUGCUUGACUACCCAGAUCUGCUUGCCACUCACCUCUAUGCUGCUCUUCAGGAGGCAAACUCCCGUGGUUUCCCUUGUCCUCUGGUUGGGUUGACUAAUAGACAGGAGAUUAACAAGAGAAGAAAAAGGUGAGGGCAGCUUAUUUAUUCCCUGACUGCCUUUGUGCAAGUCAGACUCAUCUUGACUGUUUUUCAACUGAGCACCACUUCUCCUCUCAAGGAGGUCUUUCUCUAUUUCCUUCCUUCCUUCCUUCCUUCCUUCCUUCCUUCCUUCCUUCCUUCCUUCCUUCCUUCCUUCCUUCCUUCCUUCCUUCCUUCCUUCCUUCCUCUCUCUCUUUCUUUCUUUCUUCUUCUUCUUUUUUUUUUUAACAGAGUCUCGCUCAGUCACCCAGGUGGAGUCCAGUGGCGUGAUCUUGCUUCACUGAAACCUCCAACUCCUGGGUUCAAGCGAUUCUCCUGCCUCAGUCUACUGAGUAGCGCACCACAACCCCGGGUUAAUUGUUGUAAUUUUGCUAGAAACAAGUUUUUGCCAUGUUGGCCAGGCUGGUCUCGAAUUCCUGACCUCAGGUGAUCCACCCACUUCAGCCUCUCAAAGUCCUGGGAUUACAGGUGUGAGCCACUGCACCCGGGCCCUUUCCUCUACUUUCUUCUUCUGAACUUUGCACAGGUUCCUCUUUUUGGAAUUAGGGAAGGUAGCAACUCCAAUGCUACUAAACUUUGGUCAUUGAAGUAGCACUUAUGGUUUCCCUACAUACUAAUUAUACUUUUAAAAUACUUCCCUUAUGGAUAAUGAUCAUGACUUCUCUGUUCCCUUUGACUCUGGC